AGGGGAAUUGCCCAUUCUAGCAGGGAACUUAAGUUCCAGUAAACAUUGACACAUUGGACUGGAGUGCUCUGGGGCUAAGUAAACUAGAAAGGCAGUCUAGGUCACAAGGACUGUAACUCCUAGGCAAGUCCUAGUGCUAAACUGGGCUCAGAGUCAGUUAACUGGGGUGAGGUGGACACAACCUACUGAAACACCAGCUGUGGUAUCUAGGGGAGGGAUGGCACCACUCCCCACCUAAACCCCAGGCUGCACAGCUGAUGGCUCCAAAAGAGACUCCUUCCUUUCACUUGAGAAGAGGAGAGGGAAGACUGGGGAAGACUUUGUAUUCCAGCGCAGCCACAGCAGAAUGUGGCACUGGUUAGAGUGGUGAGGUCCUUUUUUCAGGCCCCUAGAUCUUGGAUAAUAAUUCUAGACAUACUCUGGACCACAGGGGAACCUGCUGCUUUGAAGGGAAGCAUCCAGUCAUGGCAGAAUACAUCACCUGCUAGCUGAAGAUCCUUGGGCCCUGAAUAACCAGCAGCAAUACUCAUGGAUGAUUUCAGAGAAGGCUAACGGUGUCAACAGAGAUUAAAGAGGGAAGCCUGGACUUCAAUCUCCAAUUGGCAGUAACAAGGCAGCACCUCCCUCUUUCCCUGCUGGAGUAGUGAAAAUCAGGUGCACAAUGGCUACUGAAUAUGCAGGCAUUAUUUUCACCAUAAAAACAAUAAGGAUUUGAAGGAAGCUAUCUACCAUGCCUGUAUCUUUUUCAGGAGUGCAAAAUUUCUCAAAGAAAAUCCUUGUCCCUAAACAUCAUGAAACAUUCCCCUGGACAUAAUGAUUGACGUGGCUGAUGGUUUGGAAAGGGAGCUUAAAAAAUUGACUAUAUGCCAAACAGAGCAAAACCAUGACUGAAAUACUAAAUACAUGUUAAAUGUCCUAAUUGAAGAAACAAUGCAAUCCCUAUAAUUUUGAGACACUUUAGCCAAAAUAUCUAAAGAGGUGGAAACAGUUUUUCUUCUUCCCUUCUUUCAUUUUGUUCUCAAUAAACAUUUAAUGAAAGCAUUUUACACAAUAGAAUGGAUACUUAAUAUAUUAAUUUGAAGUCAUUAAAAUUAUUGUAAAGUUAAUAUGUUCCCUUCCUAAAGCUUGCAUAGUCUGUUUUCACACUGCUAUAAAGAACUACCAGAGACUCAGUAAUUUAUGAAGAAAAUAUGAAGAAAAGAGGUUUAAUUGGACAGGCUGUUAAGGCAGCAUGACUGGGAGGACUCAGGAAACUUAUAAUCAUGGUAAAGUUGAAGGGGAAGCAAGCAUGUCUUACCACAGUGGAGCAGGAGAGAGAGAGAGAAAAGGGGGAGGGGCCAAACACUUUUAAAUGAUAAUAUCUCAUGAGAUCAACAAGGUGGAAAUCUGUCCCCAUGAUCCAAUCACCUCCCACUAGACCCCUCCUCUGACAUAUGGAGAUUACAAGUCUAUAUGAGGCUUGGGUGGGGACACGGAGCCAAACCAUUAUCAGCUGGUGCACUGUCAUAAAGACAUCAUAUAAAGAGCUCAGAAUGGGAAUAAUUAGGCUUCUAUUAGCCAUCAGUUUCAGGGGACAAACACUGAUGUUUAAGAUGCUCUAAGGUAAAAGCUGCUCCAAAUGUGGGAAGCCCAAUAAGAAGAGUCCUCCACGUAAGUUUACCUAUAGUUCACCCAAACACAUGAGCAUUUAACUAUGAAGCAAUUUGUACUUGAAUAUGAACAAGAGUUUUUUCAUAUCUAUAUGUAUUAUUUUACAGAUAACUACACACACAUAUUAUCAAUAGCUAUAUCUGUCUAGACCUAGAUAUAGAUAUAUCUGCAUGUGUAUGUAAUUAUUUGAAAAAUAAUUGAAUGCAAUCUAUGGCAUCUUCUACCUUCAAGGGAGUGACAACACUUAGAUAGAUUAUAUUAUUUAGGAAAACACCCUGAUGGAACUUUUCAGUGAAGAGAAAUGAUGCCUUCUGGACAUAUCCUAAAUGAAUGGAAUAAGGAAGAGAGAUCUGAAUUAUUUUGUACAAUAAAAAAGAGAAUAAUCAUUCAUGUUCUUGCAAAACUAUGAGCGUCCAGGCAGCUAGCAAGAGAGAAUAGAUUUGCAAAAAUUUUAGAAAGAUAAGGGACCUAUGAAAAUAGCAAUUGAUCAAGAUCUAAGAAAAGAGUGGAGUCAGUGAGCACCUGUGUAAGGAGAGGGGGGCGGGGAUAUUGGUAUCCAAUAGUAAUUAUUACGUUGCAUUUUGGCUUGCUUGGGGUUUUGUUUUCUUUUGUUUUGUUGAUGCUAUGCUUGCAUGUAAAUAGUCAUUCACCUCUAGAUAAUCAAUAAAGGUCAUCCAACUAUAAUUACUUUGUUAAUAGUAUUAUGAAGAGUUUAAAGAUAGUAUAGGACAAGGAAGUGGAACCUUUUAUACUUCAACCUUACACUAAGGUCUUUGUAGCAUUGCCACCAUUGUCCUUCAGGGGACAAUUAUUUUAACAUUUCUGGUGGGGACAACAGUACAGUUGGGGGUCCAAGGCAGAGGUGAGGGCUUCUUGAAGGAGUCAAGAAGCCUGGCAAAUGCAAUGUACAUUGACUCUAGUGUGGCCUAAAGAGAAGCCUUAUGGCUCCAACUAUAUUCAUGGCAGGUGACAUUUGAACAAGGAAGGCUGGAAUGAAGAGAGAGGUUAGGUACGUGGUGGAUUACCCAGAGGUCAGUCUUUUUUCAUUAGCCUUCUGCAAUGCUUCCAGUCACAGCUUAAACUAGUGGUUGGCCUGUGGUUUCCUGGUACACGCCUUUCAGUGCACUGUUUUUUCUCAGCCCUUUUUCUUGCUGGAUGCUACAAUUACAUUUGACUUUACGUCUCCCUCAAAUCAGCAUAAAGUAAAUAGAUAUUUCUACUUCAUUUGUCCCUAGAUCCAUAUUUAAAUUAUGUAAGUAAUGGUAUACAGGUGAUUACGAAUUUAAAAGUUCUGAGAUGUCUGGUCAUGGUAUAGGCUAAGAGAAGCCUUAAAAAAAUCUAAUCUCAGGUGGGAAGUUUUUAAUAAUGCUUCUUUUGUCCCUUAUACCUCUUACUAUAACUGUGAGCUGGAGAAAUAGCUCACUUUCUUGCCUGUAACGGAAGCAUUAAUAACCAGCAGACAAGAAUUAAAAAAUGAAUGGUUUAUGUCUUCCCAAGUAGAUUAUCAAUCCUCUGAACAACUGAAUUUACAUGAAAGUAAGCAGUGAUUUUCUACUUUUCUUCAGUAGGCUGACACAUAAAAAAUAAUUUGAUUACUGACCUGUGCAGACAAUUCAUGAAUACUAAUUGAAAACUCAUUUGGUGUUUCCUGAAAAAUUAAAGAAAAACAACAGAUAUGUUUUCUUCCUCCAAAAUGGCCUGAUGUAGAAGUGCAACAUUUCCUCAAAACUACAGUCAUCCACCUACUUGCAAAGUAACAAUUUUUUCUGCUUGGAAUAUUUUCUGAUGAUGCAACAGAUUCUAUGUAAUUCACAAGAAAUAAAUCAGAAAUGCUUCAAAAAUGCUGAUGUGCAAAAAGAAUGUUCUUAAGAUAUUUCUUGAAGAAAAAUGUAGAAACCAAUCAGC
rnacentral:lncRNA from 1 species